rnacentral:rRNA from 1 species
AUGCCCAACGGCAGCUUGGACAGCUACCUGCACGCUCAUACGACGCUCUCAUGGACGCAGAGGCUUUGCAUCAUCAAGGGCGUCGCGUUCGGGCUCUUGUACCUCCACGAGGACUGGGAGCAGGUCAUCAUGCACCGGGACGUCAAGGCCAGUAACGUCCUCCUCGACGGCGACAUGAAUGGCCGCUUGGGUGACUUCGGCCUCGCGAGGCUGGCUGCAUGA